AUUUGAUGUUUUGCUCAGAGCCCGACUCUGGACUAUAUGUCGAAGGGCUGACUACCCGCAGUCAAGAAAGUCCAACCCGGCUACUCGACUCGAGUCAUCGGCUUGGAGAGAUGUCGAGAGAUGCUCGAAUGCGAGAAGAUGCCACAGAGUGGAAACAUACCCGACGAUUCGUUCUCAUUCAAAGUUAGCUUCGCGAAAGCUGGGGACUUAGCUACAUGAGACAAUAUCCGAGCAGUUACCCAUGCUGGAUUGAAAUAUUUCUCAAUGUCACACGGUAGCAGCACUUGCAUGAAGCUAAACAACAAGGCAUGCCAGGAUUAAAGCUGCAACUGGGUUACAUGUGGAGCAAUCCAAUUCACGUUGGAGCUGAUUCUGAAUUUGUGUCUCUGAAAGGAUGGAAUCAUUUACCAUAAACCGUGAAUGUUAAAUCACUGGACAAUGAAGUUGUACUUUCAGAAGAUCUAUGUGCCUGGUUUCCUGCAAACAGUGAGUUUGCUGUCCUUUUGGAGCCUCAUAUGUAUUUGGCACCCGAUACAAGGUUACUACAAUGUGAACAGUCAAAGUGUUAGCAGAGAGUCUUCCAUUGUAUGCAAUCCAGUCAACCUUCGCUAUUUCUCAUCUUCUGAGUGACACUCAUAUUGAUGAAUGUCUUUAAAAGGUAACUGAAGUUACGGAUAAAGAAGAUGACAUAAUAUGUGACAACUGGAGGAGUUUGUGGUGUGCAAGAAAUGGAUGUGCAAGUCAACAUCAGCAACUGUUGGCAAACUGAUUGAACGACUCAGUGCUAUUUAUUGAAACGAUGUAGCAGAAACUCAAGUGCAGGAGAGUGUGAGACAAAGACAGUCAGUGCAGACAGACAGUCUUCCAGUACAUUUUUGUGUGGAGUUGAGACAUAGCCAGAUAGGAUAUACAGCCUAACUAAAGACAUUUGUGUAUAGAAACUGAAUUGGCAAAGAGAGGGCAUUGCAAGUGUUUUCAGUCAAUGUCGUGCAAUGUUGGAAGAAUGGUCUAGCAAUUGGGACAAGAAAGCAACCAAUGGGACACUGAUGGAGGCUUUGUUAUAGACGGACAUGAAACACAAGCAAACAAAAUAUUUGGAAAAGAACUCGUGAAAUAUGUGAAUCCAAUCAUUUGAAUUAGGCAGAUGUGGUCAACAAAAAAUUGUUCUCCUCGCGUUUGUCAGUGUGCAGGAGGCGAGAUGAGUGAGUCAUCAUCGGCUGGUGCAUCGGAAUAACGCAUUUGGGUCGAGCCUACGUAAACACAGUGAUGAGGUAAAGCUUGAUGAAAGAUGGUGGCUUUCAAUGGAAUAUGUACGGUCUCAGUCUCUUGGGAGAGGUACACGAAACUGGUGCAACAUUGCUUACUGGGAACUCAUGCAGAGAGUUGGUCGGAUGUAUAAUGCAACGAGCGAAUGUGUGGAUAUCUACGCAGAGUCAGCGCUUGCAAACAGCCUGUGUAUAAGACCGCUUACGAACGACAAUUGAUCGGAUGUCAUCAAGAGAGUGAGAGAUCACAUCGGACGUGGUAUCCAGAUUUCGUGUGAAGACAACAGAGUUUGGAUCUACAAUCAGAGAGACUACCUGAUCUUUGCUCAGAGUCGACUCUGGACUAUAUGUCGAAGGGCCGACUACCC